rnacentral:rRNA from 1 species
CCUACGGGUGGCAGCAGUGGGGAAUAUUGGGCAAUGGAGGAAACUCUGACCCAGCAAUGCCGCGUGAAUGAUGAAGGUUUUCGGAUUGUAAACCCCUUUUGUUAGAGAAGAUAAUGACGGUAUCUAACGAAUAAGCACCGGCUAACUCCGUGCCAGCAGCCGCGGGAAUAAGGAGGGUGCAAGCGUUACUCGGAAUCACGUGGCUUAAAGAGCGCGUAGGCGGGAUAGCAAGUCAGAUGUGAAAUCCUAUGGCUUAACCAUAGAACUGCAUUUGAAACGGUUAUUCUAGAGUAUGGGAGAGGUAGGUGGAAUUCUGGGUGUAGGGGUAAAAUCCGUAGAGAUCAAGCGGAAUACUCAUUGCGAAGGCGGCUUACUGGACUGUAACUGACGUUGAGGCUCGAAAGCGUGGGGAGCAAACAGGAUUAGAUACCCCUGUAGUC